AAAACAUGGUCUUUUGUUCAUUAUAUAAGGUCUGACCUGCUCAAUGAUUUUUUAAAUGGCUGCAGUAUUUUGACUGUACAAAGGUAGCAUAAUAAUUUGUCCUUUAAUUGGGGUCUGGAAUGAAUGGUUUCAUGAAAAAUAGACUUUUUUAAUUUAGUAUUGAAAAUUUAAUUUUUAAGUCAAAAAGCUUAGAUUUUUUUAUAGGACGAGAAGACCCUAUAGAACUUUAUUUUUAUAUUCUGAGUUUUUUUAGUUUAUUAAUAAAUUAUAGAUGGAUAAAAAUUUUGUUGGGGUGACAAAAAAAAUUUUAUAACUUUUUUUAUUUUUUGCAUUUAUAUAUGUAUUUUUGAUCCUUUUUUUGGAAAAAAGAAUAAGUUACCUUAGGGAUAACAGCGUUAUUAUUUUGGAGAGUUCUUAUCGAUAAAAUAGUUUGCGACCUCGAUGUUGGAUUAAAAUAAGAUAUAGGAGUAGAAUAUUAUAUUCUUGGUCUGUUCGACCUUUAAAUUUUUACA
rnacentral:rRNA from 1 species